UACGAAGGGGGCGAGCGUUGUUCGGAUUUACUGGGCGUAAAGCGCGCGCAGGCGGUCUUCCAAGUCAGUGGUGAAAGCCCGGAGCUCAACUCCGGAAUUGCCAUUGAAACUGUGAGACUGGAGUACGAGAGAGGUGAGUGGAAUUCCCAGUGUAGAGGUGAAAUUCGUAGAUAUUGGGAAGAACACCGGUGGCGAAGGCGGCUCACUGGCUCGUAACUGACGCUCAGGCGCGACAGCGUGGGGAUCAAACAGG
rnacentral:rRNA from 1 species